AACGAACGCUGGCGGCAUGCCUAACACAUGCAAGUCGAACGAGAUCUUCGGGUCUAGUGGCGCACGGGUGCGUAACGCGUGGGAAUCUGCCCUUUGGUUCGGAAUAACAGUUGGAAACGACUGCUAAUACCGGAUGAUGACGAAAGUCCAAAGAUUUAUCGCCAGAGGAUGAGCCCGCGUAGGAUUAGCUAGUUGGUGUGGUAAAGGCGCACCAAGGCGACGAUCCUUGGCUGGUCUGAGAGGAUGAUCAGCCACACUGGGACUGAGACACGGCCCAGACUCCUACGGGAGGCAGCAGUGGGGAAUAUUGGACAAUGGGCGAAAGCCUGAACCAGCAAUGCCGCGUGAGUGAUGAAGGCCUUAGGGUUGUAAAGCUCUUUUACCCGGGAUGAUAAUGACAGUACCGGGAGAAUAAGCUCCGGCUAACUCCGUGCCAGCCGCCGCAGUAA
rnacentral:rRNA from 1 species